AUGCUUUGGAGAAAAUAAUAAGUUAGUUUAGCGAUGGUGGUGGUAGCGGCGAGGGUGUGGAGGUGGGAGAAGAACAAUGCGAUGAUAAGUGGGGGAAACGGUGUGUGUGUAUGUGUGUGUGUAAAUGCCUCGAAUGAAAAAUAAGUUAGUCAGGUUUUAUAAGCAGUGGCAUGAGUACGAAUGUGGGAGAAGAGAGUGAUAUGGUGAUGGAAGGAGGUAAACUGUGCUUCAUCGUAUCUCAAGGGAAAAUAAAUGCAAUGGAAGGAGUGGCGAGCGAGGAAACGUGGGUGAAAAGAAAAAAGUAAUGAUGGAAAGGGAG